AUACUCCACUGACCUCGAAUUGUUGAACUUCUCUACCCACAUUCCCAUGCUCACAUCCUCCAUUUUGAACAACUGCAGCAUGUCAAACGUGUUAAAGGAUCUCCUCUUUUUUUUCCCACAGAAACCCUCAAGGAUAUAGAAGUACAAUCAAAGAGGGGCGAGGGGAGAAAAGAGGGAAUUGAUACAAGUAAAAGAUAUCAUACCCUCAACUUAUGUUGCUCAAAAUCAGAGACGAUGGACUCCGCAACAUCAGACGAGAUGACAUAACCAGGCCCAUUCGCGUAGGGUGGAUAAUCUUCUUCUGGCCAUUCCUGCAACUCCCAAGAACAAAAGUGAGGUGAUAAACAGGCGAAUUUAGGGUAAACUCCCAGGCACCGAUAAAGCAAUUUGUGCCAUUCAGCAAAUAUUUACAGUUCUGUAGAGAAAAACAUUUAGACAAAACCAUUGAAGUAUAGCGGGCAUGAGCGUGUAACUCUACGUAGGAGGAUUCAAAUACAACCUCCAGCCCACUCACAUGUACCAAAAGAAUAAUGAUAGUAGUGAGUGCAAGAGAAAAAAAUUUAACAAUGACGUCAAUUUGUCCGUAGGGACAGUUAACUUCUGAACUCGAACAUGAUAAGAAACUAAUCACAA